GUACUCUCUUCAGCAGCAGCACAUAUACUAAAAUUGGAACGAUACAGAGAAGAUUAGCACAAUACACAAUGAUGGCAUGCACAUUUGCCAAAUGUUCCAGAUUAAA